UGCCAGACUCCUACGGGAGGCAGCAGUGGGGAAUAUUGCACAGUGGGGGAAACCCUGAUGCAGCGACGCCGCGUGAGCGAAGAAGUAUUUCGGUAUGUAAAGCUCUCUCAGCAGGGAAGAAAAUGACGGUACCUGACUAAGAAGCUCCGGCUAAAUACGUGCCAGCAGCCGCGGUAAUACGUAUGGAGCAAGCGUUAUCCGGAUUUACUGGGUGUAAAGGGAGCGCAGGCGGCUUUGCAAGUCUGAUGUGAAAGGCCAGGGCUCAACCCUGGGACUGCAUUGGAAACUGUAAAGCUAGAGUGCCGGAGAGGUAAGCGGAAUUCCUAGUGUAGCGGUGAAAUGCGUAGAUAUUAGGAGGAACACCAGUGGCGAAGGCGGCUUACUGGACGGCAACUGACGCUGAGGCUCGAAAGCGUGGGGAGCAAACAGGAUUAGAUACCCUGGUA
rnacentral:rRNA from 1 species